CAGCCCGCGCCCCGUAAAAAGGGACGGCCCGCCGCAGGAACCCUAAACUCUGUUUUUAGUGGAACUUCUGAGUAUAAAAAACAAAUAAAUCAAAACUUUCAACAACGGAUCUCUUGGUUCUGGCAUCGAUGAAGAACGCAGCAAAAUGCGAUAAGUAAUGUGAAUUGCAGAAUUCAGUGAAUCAUCGAAUCUUUGAACGCACAUUGCGCCCGCCAGUAUUCUGGCGGGCAUGCCUGUUCGAGCGUCAUUUCAACCCUCAAGCCCAGCUUGGUGUUGGGAGCUGCAGUCCUGCUGCACUCCCCAAAUACAUUGGCGGUCACGUCGAGCUUCCAUAGCGUAGUAAUUUACACAUCGUUACUGGUAAUCGUCGCGGCCACGCCGUUAAACCCCAACUUCUGAAUGUUGACCUCGGAUCAGGUAGGAAUACCCGCUGAACUUAAGCAUAUCAAUAGGCCGGAGGA
rnacentral:rRNA from 1 species